AACGUAGGGGGCCAGCGUUGCUCGGAAUUACUGGGCGUAAAGGGAGUGUAGGCGGUUUCCUAAGUCUUCUGUGAAAUCUACGGGCUUAGCCUGUAACGUGCAGAGGAAACUGGGAGACUUGAGUGUCGGAGAGGAUAGGGGAAUACCCGGUGUAGAGGUGAAAUUCGUAGAGAUCGGGUGGAACACCAGUGGCGAAGGCGCCUGUCUGGCUGACAACUGACGCUGAGGCACGAAAGCGUGGGGAGCAAACAGG
rnacentral:rRNA from 1 species